CCGGCACGGGUGAGUAAUACGUAUCCAACCUGCCGUCUACUCUUGGACAGCCUUCUGAAAGGAAGAUUAAUACAAGAUGGCAUCAUGAGUCCGCAUGUUCACAUGAUUAAAGGUAUUCCGGUAGACGAUGGGGAUGCGUUCCAUUAGAUAGUAGGCGGGGUAACGGCCCACCUAGUCUUCGAUGGAUAGGGGUUCUGAGAGGAAGGUCCCCCACAUUGGAACUGAGACACGGUCCAA
rnacentral:rRNA from 1 species